UACGGAGGAGGCAAGCGUUAUCCGGAAUGAUUGGGCGUAAAGCGUCUGCAGGUGGCAGUUCAAGUCUGCUGUCAAAGACCGGGGCUAAACUUCGGAAAGGCAGUGGAAACUGAACAGCUAGAGUAUGGUAGGGGCAGAGGGAAUUCCUGGUGUAGCGGUGAAAUGCGUAGAGAUCAGGAAGAACAUCGGUGGCGAAGGCGCUCUGCUGGACCAUAACUGACACUCAGGGACGAAAGCUAGGGGAGCGAAUGGG
rnacentral:rRNA from 1 species